rnacentral:sRNA from 1 species
GCAGGGUGUGUUGGUGCACACCUGUAAUCCCAGCAGCUCCAGAGGCUGAGGCAGGAGGAUUGCAAGUUCAAAGCCAGCUUUAGCAUUUUAGUAAGACCCUAAGCAACUCAGCAAGACUCUGUCUCUA